rnacentral:tRNA from 2 species
GGCCUUGUAGUGAAGUUCAUGUUAGAUUGCAAAUCUGAAGAUACAGAAGUAAUUUUGUUGAGGUCU